rnacentral:rRNA from 1 species
AUUGAACGCUGGCGGCAGGCCUAACACAUGCAAGUCGAACGAGUGGCGGACGGGUGAGUAAUGUCUGGGAAAAUGUCCGAUGGAGGGGGAUAACUACUGGAAACGGUAGCUAAUACCGCAUACCAUCGGAUGUGCACAGAUGGGAGUAGCUUGUAGGGGAGGUAACGGCUCACCUAGGCGACGAUCCCUAGCUGGUAUGGGAGGGUGACCAGCCCUACUGGAACUGAGACACGGUCCAGACUCCUACGGGAGGCAGCAGUGGGGAAUAUUGCACAAUGGUGGCAAGCCUGAUGCAGCAAUGCCGCGUGUAUGAAGAAGGCCUUCGGGUUUUAAAGUACUUUCAGCGGGGAGGCGUUACCCGCAGAAGAAGCACCGGCUAACUCCGUGCCAGCAGCCGCGGUAAUUC